rnacentral:rRNA from 1 species
CAGCAGCCGCGGUAAUACAGAGGGUGCGAGCGUUAAUCGGAUUUACUGGGCGUAAAGCGUGCGUAGGCGGCUUUUUAAGUCGGAUGUGAAAUCCCUGAGCUUAACUUAGGAAUUGCAUUCGAUACUGGGAAGCUAGAGUAUGGGAGAGGAUGGUAGAAUUCCAUGUGUAGCGGUGAAAUGCGUAGAGAUCUGGAGGAAUACCGAUGGCGAAGGCAGCCAUCUGGCCUAAUACUGACGCUGAGGUACGAAAGCAUGGGGAGCAAACAGGAUUAGAUACCCCCGUAGUCCCUGUCUCUAUACA